rnacentral:RNase_P_RNA from 1 species
GAGGAAAGUCCGGGCUCCAUAGGGCAAGGUGCCAGGUAACGCCUGGGCGGCGCGAGCCGACGGAAAGUGCAACAGAAAGAUACCGCCUACGUCUUCUUCGGAAGGCCGGUAAGGGUGAAAUGGUGCGGUAAGAGCGCACCGCGAGUCUGGCAACAGACCGGCACGGCAAACCCCACCUGGAGCAAGACCAAAUAGGGAUCCUUUGGCGCGGCCCGCGUUGGAUCCGGGUAGGUUGCUUGAGCGUUGCGGUGACGUAACGCCUAGAGGAAUGACUGUCCACGACAGAACCCGGCUUA